rnacentral:lncRNA from 1 species
AUGCCAAGAUUGACCUCUGAAGAUAUGCUUAAACCGCCACUCGGUUCUGUGUAGAUCGUAGGCUGAUAACUCUUAUGUAGGAGUAGCUUGAUCAAAAGUUUUAAAACCCAUAGACUACAAAAAAAAACCCACAAAAUCAGCUGGUUUAACAAUCAACAAUACCCAUCUCCCAUACAUAAAUUCAGUUGUUUCAUAUUUAAAACAUAGACAUAUCAGACCCACAAAAUAAUAAAAAUAAAGAUUUUUUUUAGAAUAACAAGUUAUUUAGUCACCACCCCUUUAAGCUAAAUCAAUAAAGAUACUUGAAAGUUAACUUUAAUCCACAACUUUAAUCCACAAGAACUGGUGCACAUUAUCUAUUGUCAUUGAUCCAGUAUUUAUUUAACCACUAUGUCACAAGAAAAAAAAAAAAAAAAACUCAUUCAAAAUCAAA